rnacentral:lncRNA from 1 species
UGGGCUUUUAAUUGGGUUUUUUUCGCUCCGUCAGGGGAAGUAUUUUUUAUGUUGGAUUAGGAAGAGUCUCCUAUUGGGCUGCGCCAGGAGGGGGUGCUCGGCGUCUGGAGCGCACGAAGGAGUGGUUUGCGUGCGGGUGGACGAGAUGGGUCUCGAGGGCUUAACGAAAAUAAGGGAGAAAAAAAGAUGGAACGGUGUAUAUUUUUUACUUUGGUAUAGAUAGAUUCGGUGCAAUCCUGGGGCCCACAAAUUUUAUGAAAAGUUUGACAGACGACGGUGAAGAGAACGGUCCGUAUUUUUUAGAUAGGUAUAGAUACUUCCUC